AUAUCUCUCUGUACGGGAAGGAUGAGAAGCUUCGACUAAGGUUCGAUUCGAGCGCAGCGAGAAAGCGUUGCCGCAGGCAAUGACCCGAAGGGCGAAGCGCGCAGCGCUGAGUCAUCCUUCCCCCACCACCA
rnacentral:sRNA from 1 species